UUGCAGCCAGUUAAGCCGACUGUGCUCUUUCCCCUGUAGGGGCCCAGUGUGCAAUGGCUGCAGAUAGCAGCCUCCUUGGUAGUGUAUGCAACCUGUUGCCUGUACAAGUUGCCCUAAGGGACCUUGGAGACAACU
rnacentral:snoRNA from 1 species